UUUUUCAUAUCUAAAUCUAAUUCAUUAUGAUUCAAAGCAUGAUACAUGGUGGAAUACAUUUUUUAAGUCAUGGUCUUCAUAUAUUUAUAUCUUCAAUUUAUAAUGAAUCGAAUUUAAACAAAAAAAUUUUUUAUGUCAUCGAUGUAUUUGAGCUGUCAUGCAUGCUCUGACCAAUAUUUUAAUUACUGUCCUUUCCUCUUGCCAUCCAUGUGCCAAAAAUAUGAAGUUGAGGAUAAUAACAUCCAAUUACUAAUUAAUGCAGAACAAAUGAUGUUGCAACAACUAACAAAAGCCAUAAUCCGAGUAGCAAAUUAAUAGAAAAUAUAAAGCAGAGCUGCUGCUCCGCAUUAUUCACUGGAGUAUGUAUAUAUAACUCAAUGUGCACUAGGCGCAUCUAAGCCUUCUGAUCCUGAAUAUAUUCAUCCACCUCCUUGAAGUUCUUUACUACAAAAUCCUUAAUCACGUGUGGGACUUCAACAUCGUCGCUCGCCUUCUCAUACUCACAGCUCCAUUUCACCAAGCUUUCACCAUUUUCCUUUGCACAAACAAAUAUGAAGCCCUUGAAGAUCUUGUAGAAUUUCAGGAGGUCACCUUCAAUCACACUGUAAGCGACGUGCUUAGUUGCUUCGUCAACAGCAUCGAUCCUCUCUUUCGAUACCUUAACAAGCGGAGAACCUUCAGCAUAAGUGAAGAGGCGAACAGUACCAGGAGCCUUUCCAUCGCCUUCGAGUACUUGAAUGUUCUUGUAUUGGUCAGGAAAGACCUUAGGGAAGAGAGUUGUGGAGUUCCUAAUGCUAUUCCAGAACUUAUCUGGAGAAGACUUGAUAUGAACUUCUACAUCAAGCUUUCCACUAGAGGCCAUAUUGGGAUGAUGCACAAAAGAAAUUAGAUGAACAAGAGAGGGAUCGAUCACUUGCCCAA
rnacentral:misc_RNA from 1 species